GACGAACGCUGGCGGCGUGCUUAACACAUGCAAGUCGAACGAAGUGGCGCACGGGUGAGUAACGCGUAAUCAACCUGUCCUUCAGAGGGGGACAACAGUUGGAAACGACUGCUAAUACCGCAUACUGAAGGAGGGGCUUGCGUCGGAUUAGCUGGUGGGCGGGGUAACGGCCCACCAAGGCGAUGAUCAGGAGCCGGUCUGAGAGGAUGAACGGCAACAUUGGGACUGAGACACGGCACAGACUACUACGGGAGUCAGAAGUAGGGAAUCUGCCGCAAGGGAAGAAAGUCUGACGGAGCAACGCCGAGUGAGUGAUGACGGCCUGCGGGUGGUAAAGCUCUGUUAAUCGGGACGCGGUACCUGAAUAGAAAGCCACGGCUAACUACGUGCCAGCAGCCGCGGUAAUUC
rnacentral:rRNA from 1 species